rnacentral:misc_RNA from 1 species
UCCGGUUUAUCACCGGCAGUCUCCCGUGAGUCCCCAACCCGCUAAAGACGGUUGCUGGCAACACAGGACAAGGGUUGCGCUCGUUGCGGGACUUAACCCAACAUCUCACGACACGAGCUGACGACAGCCAUGCACCACCUGUACACCGACUCAAAGAGGGACCGUAUCUCUACGGUUUUCCGGCGUAUGUCAAGCCUUGGUAAGGUUCUUCGCGUUGCGUCGAAUUAAGCAACAUGCUCCGCCGCUUGUGCGAGCCCCCGUCAAUUCCUUUGAGUUUUAGCCUUGCGGCCGUACUCCCCAGGCGGGGCACUUAAUGCGUUAGCUACGGCACGGAACCCGUUGAAAAGGUCCCACACCUAGUGCCCAACGUUUACGGCGUGGACUAC